rnacentral:rRNA from 1 species
AGUGAACGCUGGCGGUAGGCCUAACACAUGCAAGUCGAACGGCAGCACAGUAAGAGCUUGCUCUUACGGGUGGCGAGUGGCGGACGGGUGAGGAAUACAUCGGAAUCUACUUUUUCGUGGGGGAUAACGUAGGGAAACUUACGCUAAUACCGCAUACGACCUACGGGUGAAAGCAGGGGAUCUUCGGACCUUGCGCGAUUGAAUGAGCCGAAGUCGGAUUAGCUAGUUGGCGGGGUAAAGGCCCACCAAGGCGACGAUCCGUAGCUGGUCUGAGAGGAUGAUCAGCCACACUGGAACUGAGACACGGUCCAGACUCCUACGGGAGGCAGCAGUGGGGAAUAUUGGACAAUGGGCGCAAGCCUGAUCCAGCCAUACCGCGUGGGUGAAGAAGGCCUUCGGGUUGUAAAGCCCUUUUGUUGGGAAAGAAAAGCAGCAGGUUAAUACCCCGCUGUUCUGACGGUACCCAAAGAAUAAGUACCGGCUAACUUCGUG